UUGAACGCUGGCGGCAUGCUUUACACAUGCAAGUCGAACGGCAGCACGGGAGCUUGCUCCUGGUGGCGAGUGGCGGACGGGUGAGUAAUGCAUCGGAACGUGUCCUAAAGUGGGGGAUAACGCAUCGAAAGGUGUGCUAAUACCGCAUAAACUCUGAGGAGGAAAGUAGGGGAUCGCAAGACCUUAUGCUUUUGGAGCGGCCGAUGUCUGAUUAGCUAGUUGGUAGGGUAAAGGCCUACCAAGGCUUCGAUCAGUAGUUGGUCUGAGAGGACGACCAGCCACACUGGGACUGAGACACGGCCCAGACUCCUACGGGAGGCAGCAGUGGGGAAUUUUGGACAAUGGGCGCAAGCCUGAUCCAGCAAUGCCGCGUGAGUGAAGAAGGCCUUCGGGUUGUAAAGCUCUUUCAGUCGAGAGAAAAGGUUGUGACUAAUACUCACAACUCAUGACGGUAUCGACAGAAGAAGCACCGGCUAACUAC
rnacentral:rRNA from 1 species